UGAAGCUGAGCAUCAAGAAAGACAUCUGUGCUGAGAACAACAUUCAAAAACAGCACUGAAUGAGUAACUGGAUUAAAAUUACUGGGUGGGUUCAAUGGAAAGGAAAGAAAUUCAGGAAUGAGCCCGAGUUAGGCACAAGCAUGGCAUCAUGAGGUGGAGAUACACAUGUUUAAAAACUGCUUAGGAUCCUUGCCAGACAAGGAAGUUUUCAUUUGAGUGCUGGACGAAGUCAGUAGAGCAGAAAAUGAGGAACAUCCAGAAUGGAAAGAUUCUAACAGUGGAGAUGGAAAAGAACUGGAGAGGAAUGAAGCAACAUAAGGGAGACACCUCCCCACUGAUGGGAAGAAAGAAGGAAGGAAAGGAGGGAAAUCAGGAGUCAGCCAAGUUCCCCACACUCCCGAGAUUAUAAACGUUCUUAC